CUACGGGCGGCAGCAGUGGGGAAUAUUGGACAAUGGGGGAAACCCUGAUCCAGCAAUGCCGCGUGUGUGAAGAAGGCCUGCGGGUUGUAAAGCACUUUCGGUUGGGAGGACUGCUUCUAGCACUAAUAUUGUUGGAAGUUGACGUUACCUUCAGAAGAAGCACCGGCUAACUCCGUGCCAGCAGCCGCGGUAUACGGAGGGUGCAAGCGUUAAUCGGAAUUACUGGGCGUAAAGCGCGCGUAGGCGGAUAGAUCAGUCGGGUGUGAAAGCCCCGGGCUUAACCUGGGAACAGCAUCCGAUACUGUCGAGCUUGAGUACAGGAGAGGAGAGUGGAAUUCCACAUGUAGCGGUGAAAUGCGUAGAUAUGUGGAUGCACACCAAUGACGGAGGCAGCCCUCUGGCCUGAAACUGACGCUGCGUUGCGAUUGCGUCGGGAGCAAACAGGAUUAGAUACCCUGGUAGUC
rnacentral:rRNA from 1 species